rnacentral:rRNA from 1 species
GAUGAACGCUGGCGGCGUGCCUAAUACAUGCAAGUCGAGCGAACGGACGAGAAGCUUGCUUUUCUGAUGUUAGCGGCGGACGGGUGAGUAACACGUGGAUAACCUACCUAUAAGACUGGGAUAACUUCGGGAAACCGGAGCUAAUACCGGAUAAUAUUUUGAACCGCAUGGUUCAAAAGUGAAAGACGGUCUUGCUGUCACUUAUAGAUGGAUCCGCGCUGCAUUAGCUAGUUGGUAAGGUAACGGCUUACCAAGGCAACGAUGCAUAGCCGACCUGAGAGGGUGAUCGGCCACACUGGAACUGAGACACGGUCCAGACUCCUACGGGAGGCAGCAGUAGGGAAUCUUCCGCAAUGGGCGAAAGCCUGACGGAGCAACGCCGCGUGAGUGAUGAAGGUCUUCGGAUCGUANAACUCUGUUAUUAGGGAAGAACAUAUGUGUAAGUAACUGUGCACAUCUUGACGGUACCUAAUCAGAAAGCCACGGCUAACUACGUGCCAGCAGCCGCGGUAAUACGUAGGUGGCAAGCGUUAUCCGGAAUUAUUGGGCGUAAAGCGCGCGUAGCGGUUUUUUAAGUCUGAUGUGAAAGCCCACGGCUCAACCGUGGAGGGUCAUUGGAAACUGGAAAACUUGAGUGCAGAAGAGGAAAGUGGAAUUCCAUGUGUAGCGGUGAAAUGCGCAGAGAUAUGGAGGAACACCAGUGGCGAAGGCGACUUUCUGGUCUGUAACUGACGCUGAUGUGCGAAAGCGUGGGGAUCAAACAGGAUUAGAUACCCUGGUAGUCCACGCCGUAAACGAUGAGUGCUAAGUGUUAGGGGGUUUCCGCCCCUUAGUGCUGCAGCUAACGCAUUAAGCACUCCGCCUGGGGAGUACGACCGCAAGGUUGAAACUCAAAGGAAUUGACGGGGACCCGCACAAGCGGUGGAGCAUGUGGUUUAAUUCGAAGCAACGCGAAGGACCUUACCAAAUCUUGACAUCCUUUGACAACUCUAGAGAUAGAGCCUUCCCCUUCGGGGGACAAAGUGACAGGUGGUGCAUGGUUGUCGUCAGCUCGUGUCGUGAGAUGUUGGGUUAAGUCCCGCAACGAGCGCAACCCUUAAGCUUAGUUGCCAUCAUUAAGUUGGGCACUCUAAGUUGACUGCCGGUGACAAACCGGAGGAAGGUGGGGAUGACGUCAAAUCAUCAUGCCCCUUAUGAUUUGGGCUACACACGUGCUACAAUGGACAAUACAAAGGGCAGCGAAACCGCGAGGUCAAGCAAAUCCCAUAAAGUUGUUCUCAGUUCGGAUUGUAGUCUGCAACUCGACUACAUGAAGCUGGAAUCGCUAGUAAUCGUAGAUCAGCAUGCUACGGUGAAUACGUUCCCGGGUCU